UUUCCGUAGGUGAACCUGCGGAAGGAUCAUUAUUGUAUAACCGAGGUGCGAGGGCUGUCGCUGACCCGAAAGGUCGUGCACGCCCGAGUGCCCUCACACGCAUCCAUCUCACCCCUAUGUGCACCACCGCGUGGGUCCCCCUUUGGCUUGUUCGGAGGGGGGCUUACGUUUUCACACAAACUUUGUAUGCAGUGUAGAAUGUAUUUUUUGUUUUUGCGAUCACGCAAUCAAUACAACUUUCAACAACGGAUCUCUUGGCUCUCGCAUCGAUAAGAACGCAGC
rnacentral:misc_RNA from 1 species